GCCGGGCAGGGGGCCGCGGGGCUCCCCAGCGCUCCGUCACCGUGACACUCGGGACAUCGCUUCCCUCUGGCCUCAGGCCGCCUGUGCGUCUCUAUGGACUUAUCCACGGUUCGCGGAGUUGUUUAUGUUUCCUGGAAGCUCACUGCUUUACAACCGUGUGCUGCAAAGCUCUCUAUGAACUUCCAGCUUUCCUGUCUCAGCGUUCCCAAGCAUGAAAAUCAAGAAUCAAGCCGAUCUUCUUACUUUUAAAUCUUGAGUCGGUCGUGGAUUUGAAGAUGUUUUUCCACUGGACUGUAAAACAGGAUUAGCUGUGACACUGUGUGGUUUUGCUGCUCUUCUUUUGACCCUUCCCUCUCAGUGUCCCUGCUAUCCUGGAUGCCACCGUCCUUGCUGUGCCAGCCAGCCAUGUCCCCGUGCCCUCCUUUGAGUGUUUGCCAACACUGAUACCCGACUCAACCUUUGAGCUGACUAGGUUACUUUAGUCUUCCGGCAGAACUUACAAGAAAGCUUUGAUGGACUCUGUGGUAUUAAAGAACCUCUGGUGUUACUCAAGACUUCAUGAAGAAAUUAAAUUGUAAUAAUAGAAUUAGAAGACAUCUGGAUAAGUAAAAUAGAAAAUGUUUUUAAGUCUUGGUUUGCAAAUCUAUAGUUUUUAUAUAGGAGUCAAUAAGCAUAUGGAUAAGAAUAAUCAGUUGAUAGCAGUGUACUUAUAUUUUCGUAAAGCUUUUUACAAAGCCCCUCAUGAAGGAAAUGAAGCUGUUGUAAGACAAGAGGGCUCGUCAUUUAAUAUCCUCUAAAGUACAGUAAGCAAGAGCUCAGAUUUCACAACAGAGGAAGAAAGAUUCUCAGUGCAGCCCAACAGAGAUGCAUGCUUUCAAACUUACAGCAUUAUUAGGCUAAGGAGAGAGUAAAAAGGUAAUGGAGUUUGCUGAUGAUACAAAACUAUGUGGAAAAGUUGAAUCUCCUGAAAAAAGUUAAAAAUUGUUUCAUAAUACAAAACAUACCCAAAAUGACAGGUGACAUUCACUGUUGAUAAAUGCAGAGUAAAGACAAGUUUUCCUCUGAAUGUAUAACUAUGUUUAUUCAUAUACAUAGUGAUGAUGUCUAAAUGAGCUAUUACCAUCCUGUAAAGAAAUAUAUGAAAAUGUCAGUCAAUAGACAUCAAAAAGGCAAAAUCAAUAUGAAUUAUUUAAAAAAUAUAGUUAUACUACUUUUCAAAUUCUUCUAAUGAAUAUAGAUUGUACUGCUGGCCACAUUGCCUCCAAAAAAAGAUGCAAUGUACUCAGAAAAUGUGCUGAGAAGAGCAACAAAAGUGUCAAGCUGCUUCUCUCUAGGAAAGCAGAGAAAAGAAUACAAUGUAGGUAAGCAGAAAACCCAUCAUAGAAAAAUUAUUCACUGUUUCUUGUGAUAAGAGAAGUAAUAAUGAAAUUGCUAAGACGAUUUAAAGAAAAGGAAACAUUUUGUUACACAACAUAACUGAAUCACAGAAGUCAUUACCACAAACGAUGUUGUGUAUGCCAAAACUAUGAAUGGUUCAGAACGUAAUUAGAAAGAAAUCAUAGAAAGUCCAUCAAGACCCAUUAAGCACAAGAAUGCAAACACAAGCUCUGGUUUCGGGAAACCCCUAUGCCACAGACUGCCUAAAGCUCAGAGGAAAUACCAGCAAAGUGCCUUUCAUUCUGUAUUCCUUCCCUAAUUACAAGCUUCUGCUGGCCACUGUGGGAAAUAGGACACUAAGCUCAACAUGAGUAAAACAUUACCUUUACCUCAUCCUGCCCAGCCAUUCUGAUGUAAGGAUUUUCCAUGACACCACCCUGUCCCCCUUGCUCUGGAACCAGGAGAAUUCCUUGAUAAGUGCCUUUCUUGGGUCAUUUGCAAUGUGAAGGAGGUGACCUCUACAGAUGGAGGUAACUCAGAAGAUCAGGCCUGGGGCUUCAGAGAGAUACAAGACACCUCAAUUGCUACAGAUGUUGAAGCAGACAGGGAGACAAGCUAUUACUUUGCCUUCAUUUUUCUCUCCUUUUUAAUCUCCUGAAGUGAAUACAAGUUGGUCUGGCUUCACCACAGUUGUCUUAUCAAGAACUGGAAAUCUCAUCAACUGCCAGUGUUGAUAACUUCGUUUAAAGAGAAGACAUAAACAUAAAGCGUUUAUGGAAAAGAAUCCAAAUAGACUGUCAGGACAUUCUCAAAUGGCGAAGCCUUAAGGGCUCUGAAGUUGUGCUCUACAAAGGAAAACAAAUGUGGAAAAAAGAAAGCAUUGGAGGACAACCACAAGAUUUUGCCAAACAUCCUGGAUAUAUUACAGUGGCUGUAGGCUGCCUUGAGAAGCCAGCUGUGAUCCUGAAAGGGCAGGGAGUGUAUCCUACAGCAGCUUUAAGUUUUGCACACAAAUAUCGCUCUGUGCCAGCACAGCUGCACUGCCAAGCUUGCUGGCAGGCAGGGAGAGGAGCCUGACCAUGCCCCGACUCUGCAGAUGCUGCUUCACACCCUGUAAUACAAAUAGUUGGCACAGGAGUUUCACAGAACUGCUCCUCCGUGUGCAGACAUAGGACAAGGGAUUCUUUGGUUUUCAAAAAUUAAAGUGAAUCUUCAGAAUUCAGGGCUUUUAGGAAGAGAGAUUAUAUUCUAGGUUUUGUUGGGGUUUUGUUUUGUAAUACAAAUUAAUAUUUUACUGUCAUGCAAAAUUAUUGUCAGGAAUGAAAGAUCUGUUACAUUUAAGAGAUUAGGGGGCCUACUGCUGAUGGGACAGUCCGGGAUAACAUAGAGAGUGCUGGCUGUUUUUUUUUAGGGCAUCUUUCUGAUAGCUCAGUAGUGCAACUGGAGUGACAGCACAGAACCACCUCUUGCACAUCCUACAGGAGACUUCAGGAAUCAGAUAUUGAAAGAUCAGAAUUAGUAAAGUAUUUUAAUAAAUACCAUCAUUAUAAUGACUUUGGUUUUCAACACUUUUAGGAAAAGUGAAGGGACACAGACAAUUUGAAUUUAUUUGGCAUUGAGAUUGUACUCAGCUCUGUAAAAUACACAGAUAUAAAACAAACUGGAGGCCCAAACAAUUAAUCAUCUAAACAGAUUCCUGGAAACUGAGGCCCUGGCUUCCUGAUACUGAAGUACUUUCUGAUUAAAUGAUUUUGCUUCAAAGAUGAAUACAGAAAUUUAAGGUGUGAAUUAGUAGUUGCCUAAUGUCCACCCACAUAAAAAUAUUUUACAUUCUUCAUAUCCUCCAUGCUUCCCCUGUCCUCUGGAUUAAGCAUAUUCUACAUUAUUAAUCUGUUUUGUAUAUGCUUCUUUACUUAACUGUUUCACUUUGUUUGCACUUUUUAAAAGGAAUUGUAUUUUCUCCAUUUUUAUGAAAUUCAACUGUCAGAAGCCUUAAUAAAUAUAUCUAUAAUUUUAUUUAA